rnacentral:rRNA from 1 species
UACAGAGGUCUCAAGCGUUGUUCGGAUUCAUUGGGCGUAAAGGGUGUGUAGGUGGCGCUGUAAGUCGGGUGUGAAAUUUCGGAGCUUAACUCCGAAACUGCAUUCGAUACUGCGGUGCUUGAGGACUGGAGAGGAGACUGGAAUUCAUGGUGUAGCAGUGAAAUGCGUAGAGAUCAUGAGGAAGACCAGUGGCGAAGGCGGGUCUCUGGAAAGUUCCUGACACUGAGACACGAAGGCCAGGGGAGCAAACGGG